rnacentral:rRNA from 1 species
AUUGAACGCUGGCGGCAGGCUUAACACAUGCAAGUCGAGCGGAGAUGAGGUGCUUGCACCUUAUCUUAGCGGCGGACGGGUGAGUAAUGCUUAGGAAUCUGCCUAUUAGUGGGGGACAACGUUCCGAAAGGAAUGCUAAUACCGCAUACGUCCUACGGGAGAAAGCAGGGGAUCUUCGGACCUUGCGCUAAUAGAUGAGCCUAAGUCGGAUUAGCUAGUUGGUGGGGUAAAGGCCUACCAAGGCGACGAUCUGUAGCGGGUCUGAGAGGAUGAUCCACCACACUGGGACUGAGACACGGCCCAGACUCCUACGGGAGGCAGCAGUGGGGAAUAUUGGACAAUGGGGGGAACCCUGAUCCAGCCAUGCCGCGUGUGUGAAGAAGGCCUUAUGGUUGUAAAGCACUUUAAGCGAGGAGGAGGCUACUGAGACUAAUACUCUUGGAUAGUGGACGCUACUCGCAGAAUAAGCACCGGCUAACUCUGUGCCAGCCGCCGCGGUAA